GUGCUCACUUUGGCAGCAAGUAUGCUAAAAUUGGAACAAUACAGAGAAGAUUAGCACAGCCCAUGCCUAAGGAUGACACGCAAAUUCAUGAAGUGUUCCAUAUUUUA
ensembl:snRNA U6 U6 spliceosomal RNA